GAGGGACCUUUUUGAGAAAUAAGAGUAGUGGAAAGUGAAGCAGUAUUCCUCUAAGAGAGAGAUGUCUAGGGAAAGAAAUCAAGUAAAAGCCUUUAGAAUCAAAGAAUACCACCCGACUCUCAGAAGAUUCACACUAUAUCCAUUUCCAGAGCUGCUCUCAGAUUCCCCAGGCAAAUGCCAAUCAAAGCUUCCUUUGUUGGUGAUAUGUACAUUCCUCCAUGAGCUAUAAAGGGUUUCCCCAGCUAGAGUGCAUAAAAGCACUGAGGAUGCAAGAUCCUGCUAAAUUUCCAUAGAGCGCCUGACGAACACCACAGAACAUUCUGUACAUCCUGGCGCAGAGGAUCAUAUUGCUGCCCUCACUCUGGGGACAGCAACAAGCAGCAGCAACAGCAGGUCAUCAACUGGAAACUGGAAACCUGCCAUCUUUUAAUUAGUUGCUCUCUCCUUCAUAAUAAUCCUAUUUAAAAUCCUAUAAAAUGCAAGGUCAAGUUUGCUACACAAGCUCAGAUAAUGCCAAGCCAAAUUUUUAAUCAUAUAAUU